UACGUAGGGUGCGAGCGUUUGUCCGGAAUUAUUGGGCGUAAAGAGCUUGUAGGUGGUUUGUCGCGUCUGCCGUGAAAGUCCGGGGCUCAACUCCGGAUCUGCGGUGGGUACGGGCAGACUAGAGUGAUGUAGGGGAGACUGGAAUUCCUGGUGUAGCGGUGAAAUGCGCAGAUAUCAGGAGGAACACCGAUGGCGAAGGCAGGUCUCUGGGCAUUAACUGACGCUGAGGGAAGCGGAAAGCAUGGG
rnacentral:rRNA from 1 species